rnacentral:rRNA from 1 species
CUACGGGGCGCUGCAGUGGGGAAUCUUAGACAAUGGGCGCAAGCCUGAUCUAGCCAUGCCGCGUGAGUGACGAAGGCCUUAGGGUCGUAAAGCUCUUUCGCUGGGGAAGAUAAUGACGGUACCCAGUAAAGAAACCCCGGCUAACUCCGUGCCAGCAGCCGCGGUAAUACGGAGGGGGUUAGCGUUGUUCGGAAUUACUGGGCGUAAAGCGCGCGUAGGCGGAUCAGAAAGUUGGGGGUGAAAUCCCGGGGCUCAACCCCGGAACUGCCCUCAAAACUCCUGGUCUUGAGUUCGAGAGAGGUGAGUGGAAUUCCGAGUGUAGAGGUGAAAUUCGUAGAUAUUCGGAGGAACACCAGUGGCGAAGGCGGCUCACUGGCUCGAUACUGACGCUGAGGUGCGAAAGCGUGGGGAGCAAACAGGAUUAGAUACCCUUGUAGUC